rnacentral:lncRNA from 1 species
AAAACAUGCCCUGAAGAGGCAAACUCGUGCUCUAAUGCAGGUUGGGGAUGCUUCCAAUACUGCAGAGAAUCUCCGUUAGAGGCGUGUCAGUGGAUAAAGUUGUUAAGCCUGCUCUGACAUUUCCCAAGAGCUCCUCAAGGUUCUGUGCUCCCAACCUACAGAGACUACAGUUUUGAUCCAAGGGGAAAAAUUGACUUAACUG